rnacentral:tRNA from 1 species
GAGGGGUGGCCGAGUGGCUGAAGGCGACGGUUUGCUAAAUCGUUAUACGGGUAACCCCGUAUCGAGGGUUCGAAUCCCUCUCCCUCC